rnacentral:misc_RNA from 1 species
AAAAAACUUUUCACGUGAACCGUAUCAACCCUUUUAGUUGGGGGUCUUGCUUUUUUGCGAGCCCUAUCAUGGCGAAUGUUUGGACUUCGGUCUGGGCUAGUAGCUUUUUGUUUUAAACCCAUUCUACAAUACUGAUUAUACUGUGGGGACGAAAGUCUCUGCUUUUAA